ACCGCACAUCGAGAGUUGGGGUGACGCUCCAACGCCAACCUGCCGUUCCGGGCAAGGUGGCGCUUAAUCUUGGGAAACCGGGGUUAAGGAUGUGGCCGAUCCGGCAACGAAACGGACGCAG
rnacentral:ncRNA from 2 species